UACGAAGGGGGCUAGCGUUGCUCGGAAUCACUGGGCGUAAAGGGCGCGUAGGCGGCCAGACAAGUCAGGGGUGAAAGCCUGUGGCUCAACCACAGAAUGGCCUUUGAUACUGUUUGGCUCGAGACCGGAAGAGGUUGGUGGAACUGCGAGUGUAGAGGUGAAAUUCGUAGAUAUUCGCAAGAACACCGGUGGCGAAGGCGGCCAACUGGUCCGGUUCUGACGCUGAGGCGCGAAAGCGUGGGGAGCAAACAGG
rnacentral:rRNA from 1 species